GCAAGACCAGUGAAUCAAUAAUUUUCGAACGCACAUUGCACCGUGAGCGAAASAUCGGUCUGCUUACGAGAAAGGGCCGG
rnacentral:rRNA from 1 species